rnacentral:snoRNA from 1 species
GGGUAUGAUGAUAGCGUAUUGACACCCAGUCUCACUUGCUCCUCUGGAUGCAAUGUGGUGAUUAUUGAUCGACUAUCUGAUCC